rnacentral:rRNA from 1 species
UACGUAGGGUGCAAGCGUUGUCCGGAAUUAUUGGGCGUAAAGAGCUCGUAGGCGGUUUGUCGCGUCUGCUGUGAAAACUCGGGGCUUAACCCCGGGCCUGCAGUGGGUACGGGCAGACUAGAGUGCGGUAGGGGAGACUGGAAUUCCUGGUGUAGCGGUGAAAAUGCGCAGAUAUCAGGAGGAACACCGGUGGCGAAGGCGGGUCUCUGGGCCGUAACUGACGCUGAGGAGCGAAAGCGUGGGGGAGCGAACAGG